rnacentral:rRNA from 1 species
UACGGGGGGGGCAAGCGUUGUUCGGAAUUACUGGGCGUAAAGGGCUCGUAGGCGGCCAACUAAGUCAGACGUGAAAUCCCUCGGCUUAACCGGGGAACUGCGUCUGAUACUGGAUGGCUCGAGUUUGGGAGAGGGAUGCGGAAUUCCAGGUGUAGCGGUGAAAUGCGUAGAGACCCGGAGGAACACCAGUGGCGAAGGCGGCUUCCUGGUCUGCGACUGACGCUGUGGCGCGAAAGCUAGGGGAGCAAACGGG